AGCUGUUGAAGUACAUCUUCCAAGCUUCCCAUAAAAGCCUAACUGGCAAAAGAUCAAGAAAACAUGUUGCAGAUAAAAGGACAUAUCUCUAUUAGCAGAAGAUGUGGUCACCCACCAACCGUCUGCAAAUCGAGAUGAGAAACUCCCCCCUGGGCACACAGAAGACUGGGUGACUUCAAAGGUGCUGAACAGACUGUGGUCUGGCACCAUGAGAUGCAAAGCUAGCCUUAAGAAAUGAGGCUACAAAGUGGAGUCCAUGACAUGUGAGUGUGGAGAAGAGCAA
rnacentral:lncRNA from 1 species